UGAGGCCCAAGACACUUAUCCAAGAUCAGCAAUGCUCAUAUCAAACUAGUUCAACAUUCAUCACAAUGCAUCCUCACUAAAACACUUAAGGUCGAAGUUCACUAGCUCCACCUUGCUGAAAUUCGCCUCUGACGGUGGCGGAGGGCCAAUAUCAAAAACUUUGAUCGCCUCGCCUCCCUCUAUCACGAUCCAACCUCCAAUUCUCCUUAUUCCUACUUACAGAUCCAAACUGAGCCAAAUUUACUUAGAAACCUCAAUUACUAAAUCUGAAAUUAAAUAAAAACUAGGAGGAACCAAAGCCUCCAACAUUAGAGCUUUGAUUCCUCAAAACGAGCCCUAUAUGAUGGUAACAACAACAAGGCGAAACAGAAGUAAAAUCAAGCAAUCUUACCUACAAGGAGGAGGAGUUCCUCAGUGUGUGUUGAGUUCGAAGGUGCAUACGAAGAAGGAGCAAGAAAUCUCCAGGUACACUUCAAAACUCUUUGUUCUUGUUACUUCUUCACUCUUCUUUUCCUACCUCUUCUAUGAUAUGUUGAGUUUGUUGUUGUUGAUGAGUGAUGAUUUUGUAUGUUCAUUAGAGAAUGAGGGUAAAGAGUUUGGAGAGUGAAGAGAGAGUGAGAUUGAAGUUCAGAGUGAAAGUGUGAGAAUCAGUGAUAAUGAUUAGUGAUGAACGAUUUCAUAGUGAUUGGGAAUUUGAUUGAAUUUGAUUUUCAGUGAGUGUGAAUCUCUAUCUGUGAAUUGUGAUUGAGCCAUUUUGCAAUGAUUGAGUAAUGAUUGGUGUGUUUAUGUGAAAUGGUUCAUGAUCCCUGAAUUUGAAGAUGAGGGAUUGGUUACAUAUGAGUUUAGUUUGUAACCGAUUCGGGUAGAGCGGGUAUUUUUGUUAGGUCUGGUUAACAUAGUUAAAAAAUUCAAAUGCAAAUUGGUUCUAUGUUAUCAGACUCUGUAUUUCAGUUUAGUUAGUUAGAUCUAAUUCAUUUCUAUUAUGAGCUGGUUAGUGUAGUUAGCUUGUUUAAAAGUUAGUUGUUAGAGGUUAGAAAUAGUUAAUAGUUAGUUGGGAUAAUUAGUUAUUAGCUUUGAAUUAUAAUGGAGUUAGUGUAGAAUCUGGUCCGAGUUCUUUUGAAGCCAAUUAAGAUUGUUAUGGCAUGUUAGUCUAAUUAUGUUUGAAGUUAGUUGAUAAGAAGAACUAUGCUUAGGUGAGCUAACUGUUAUAAUACUUUGAACGGGUAUUGUUAGGAUUAGUAAUUGAUCAAAUGGAUUAUUUGAAACUGACUUGUUAUUGGAACAAGUUAGUUAAUUUGUGAACAAAAAUUGAAAAUUUUCCUAAUGUAGAAAUGAACUGUGAAAAUUGAUAAUUCAAUUUUUGUUAUUUGGAUGACUGAGUUGUGAAAUCUUCAUGUCCAUACUUGGUAUUUUUUAUAUUUCUACUUAGUAGAUUAAAAAAUUAGUUAGGAAAUGAUUGAUAUGACUUGAAAUGGAUGUGAAUUGAAAUAGAGCUAUGGAAACCAGUUAGUUAGUUAGUUCAUUGAAUUUAGAAUUAGUUAUGGAAUGGAAUAAAUUGUUAGAGUUAACUUGGUUUGUCAUGACUGUUAUUUCCAUUAGAUGAGUUAGAAUAGUGAUAGGUGGGUGAAAUGUGGGAUGGAAUUUGAACUACAAAUUUUUGCCAUGGUUUCAAAUAGUGAAAGACAGGUGAAAUGUUGGGUGGAAUUUGAACUACAAAAUGUUGUUUUCUAUGUUGUUUGGAUGGAUUGGCAUGUGAAUUUCUUUGUAUGCAAGCUGAUCCAUGGACAUUGUCUUGACAUUUUGUAAUUGUACAUCAUGCUUUGAGUUGGAUGUGCAUUUGGUUAUGUGUGUCUGAGUAAAUGCUAAUUGUGUAUGUAUAUGAUUUUGUAGGCUUGUAUGAGCUUGGCAAGAAGGUGAUGGAAUGAGGAGCACUUAAUCAUGAGCAACUUGACACUAGGCAUGGGGCACCCUAAUAAAGAUUAGUGGCUUGGAUAUCAAGGUGAGAUCCAUGGAGAUGAAGAAAGGAAUAGGUCUAGGGUUAACAUUUAGAGGUUGACUUUGGUCAACUGUUUGGCCAGAAAGUGAAUAAUUGACCAAAAGUCCAUUGUAGGACAAAAGAUGGAAUUUUGUGUAAUUUUCGUAAGGACUUGUAUGUAAUGAAAUAUUUGAAUGCUUUGUAAUUAAAAUUGGCUUUUGAAUGAAUUAUGUGUAACUUGUGUUUCAAGCAAGAACCUUUUCCCUCCAAAAAAGAAAUCUUGAAUAAGAUUUUGUAGUUGAAUGCUUGAAUGAA
rnacentral:lncRNA from 1 species